UUCACAGGGAGGUGUCAU
rnacentral:miRNA from 2 species